ACCACAGAAGACCUGGGUUGAUUGUUAAGCCAUUUCAUGAUUCUGUCUUGUUGGUCCCGCUCCGGAUGCCAUUCGAUCGGACCCGCAAGGUCGAGAACCGGUCCAACCGGGAAGAUCCUCGGCACUGUAGUAGUCGCUUCAACUGAGGUAAUCGCAUACUUUUCCAGUUCUCGAUAUGUAUUUACAACCACACCCUUCGUUUCCACAUACCUGCGUGUAUGGUAUAAAAACCAAGAAUAUCCAUCACUUCUCCUUUUCAGAACUGAAGUAGGCAGCACUUUUGGAGGCAACGGAUUGGCAAAACCCGGUAUUAUCAACUCAGUGGCAGGAUCUUUAGGUACAAUCAACUCAUUAUCCGACUCAAUGAACUCAGUAGCGAGUUGAACGUCUAUAACCGGCAAGUGUAAC
rnacentral:lncRNA from 1 species